AUUGAACGCUGGCGGCAGGCCUAACACAUGCAAGUCGAACGGUAGCACAGAGAGCUUGCUCUCGGGUGACGAGUGGCGGACGGGUGAGUAACGUCUGGGAAACUGCCCGAUGGAGGGGGAUAACUACUGGAAACGGUAGCUAAUACCGCAUAACGUCGCAAGACCAAAGUGGGGGACCUUCGGGCCUCACACCAUCGGAUGUGCCCAGAUGGGAUUAGCUAGUAGGUGGGGUAAUGGCUCACCUAGGCGACGAUCCCUAGCUGGUCUGAGAGGAUGACCAGCCACACUGGAACUGAGACACGGUCCAGACUCCUACGGGAGGCAGCAGUGGGGAAUAUUGCACAAUGGGCGCAAGCCUGAUGCAGCCAUGCCGCGUGUAUGAAGAAGGCCUUCGGGUUGUAAAGUACUUUCAGCGGGGAGGAAGGCGUUAAGGUUAAUAACCUUGGCGAUUGACGUUACCCGCAGAAGAAGCACCGGCUAACUCCGUGCCAGCCGCCGCAGUAA
rnacentral:rRNA from 1 species